rnacentral:rRNA from 1 species
GAUCAUGGCUCAGGAUGAACGCUGGCGGCGUGCUUAACACAUGCAAGUCGAGCGAAGCGGUUUAAGUGAAGUUUUCGGAUGGAUCUUGGAUUGACUGAGCGGCGGACGGGUGAGUAACGCGUGGAUAACCUGCCUCACACAGGGGGAUAACAGUUAGAAAUGACUGCUAAUACCGCAUAAGCGCACAGUACCGCAUGGUAUAGUGUGAAAAACUCCGGUGGU